CAUGCAAGUCGAGCGGUAGCACAGAGAGCUUGCUCUCGGGUGACGAGCGGCGGACGGGUGAGUAAUGUCUGGGAAACUGCCUGAUGGAGGGGGAUAACUACUGGAAACGGUAGCUAAUACCGCAUAAUGUCGCAAGACCAAAGUGGGGGACCUUCGGGCCUCAUGCCAUCAGAUGUGCCCAGAUGGGAUUAGCUAGUAGGUGGGGUAAUGGCUCACCUAGGCGACGAUCCCUAGCUGGUCUGAGAGGAUGACCAGCCACACUGGAACUGAGACACGGUCCAGACUCCUACGGGAGGCAGCAGUGGGGAAUAUUGCACAAUGGGCGCAAGCCUGAUGCAGCCAUGCCGCGUGUGUGAAGAAGGCCUUCGGGUUGUAAAGCACUUUCAGCGGGGAGGAAGGCGGUGAGGUUAAUAACCUCAUCGAUUGACGUUACCCGCAGAAGAAGCACCGGCUAACUCCGUGCCAGCAGCCGCGGUAAUACGGAGGGUGCAAGCGUUAAUCGGAAUUACUGGGCGUAAAGCGCACGCAGGCGGUCUGUCAAGUCGGAUGUGAAAUCCCCGGGCUCAACCUGGGAACUGCAUUCGAAACUGGCAGGCUAGAGUCUUGUAGAGGGGGGUAGAAUUCCAGGUGUAGCGGUGAAAUGCGUAGAGAUCUGGAGGAAUACCGGUGGCGAAGGCGGCCCCCUGGACAAAGACUGACGCUCAGGUGCGAAAGCGUGGGGAGCAAACAGGAUUAGAUACCCUGGUAGUCCACGCCGUAAACGAUGUCGAUUGGAAGUUGUGCCCUUGAGGCGUGGCUUCCGGAGCUAACGCGUUAAAUCGACCGCCUGGGGAGUACGGCCGCAAGGUUAAAACUCAAAUGAAUUGACGGGGGCCCGCACAAGCGGUGGAGCAUGUGGUUUAAUUCGAUGCAACGCGAAGAACCUUACCUGGUCUUGACAUCCACAGAACUUUCCAGAGAUGGAUUGGUGCCUUCGGGAACUGUGAGACAGGUGCUGCAUGGCUGUCGUCAGCUCGUGUUGUGAAAUGUUGGGUUAAGUCCCGCAACGAGCGCAACCCUUAUCCUUUGUUGCCAGCGGUUAGGCCGGGAACUCAAAGGAGACUGCCAGUGAUAAACUGGAGGAAGGUGGGGAUGACGUCAAGUCAUCAUGGCCCUUACGACCAGGGCUACACACGUGCUACAAUGGCAUAUACAAAGAGAAGCGACCUCGCGAGAGCAAGCGGACCUCAUAAAGUAUGUCGUAGUCCGGAUUGGAGUCUGCAACUCGACUCCAUGAAGUCGGAAUCGCUAGUAAUCGUAGAUCAGAAUGCUACGGUGAAUACGUUCCCGGGCCUUGUACACACCGCCCGUCACACCAUGGGAGUGGGUUGCAAAAGAAGUAGGUAGCUUAACCUUCGGGAGGGCGCUUACCACUUUGUGAUUCAUGACUGGGGUGAAGUCGUAACAAGG
rnacentral:rRNA from 1 species